UAUGAGACUGGAUCUCUGAACAUCACAAACACCAGACUUGAACACACUGGACCUUAUGAAGCAGAAAUCAUCAGAAGUGAGAGUUCAGGAAAAACCCAAAGCUUGAACAGAAACCCCAAGUGCGAUAGCACGAAAAUGUACAAAAAAAACAUUAACCCUGAAGACAUCAUAAUUUCAUUCAGUCUGACUGUCACUGCUUCUGAUUCUGGCAAAAACAAGAAUGAAGCCCAAAUAGUACCAGAGGACAAAGAGAUGGAGACAACUGUUCCAGGUUCAGGUCUGUCUCCAGAUGUUCCAGAUUCAGGUCUGUCUCCAGCUGUUCCAGAUUCAGGUCCAUCUUCAGCUGUUUCAGGUUCAGGUCCAUCUCCAGCUGUUGUAGCAGGAAUUGCUGUUGUUCUGCUGCUGGCUGCAGCUGUUGGUGUUGGUGUGAUGAUCAGUCACUGCAGGAGAUCCACAAAUGGUAAGCAUCACCUCACUGUAGUGAGAGGUAUACCUUUUCAUUUAGCAAAAUUAGUGUUUAAUUGUGUGGAAUGACAGAUGAGAAGAAAAACAAAGAAACAUCUGAGGAUGAGGUAAGAUACUGCACUAUUGUAUUGUGUAUUUAUAGAUUUGCUUUUGAUUUCACUUGCACCAAAAAAAUCAUCCCAAUAAGAAAAACAUGUGAAACAUGCUGAUUUUCAGAGGCUGUAAAUGGUAAUGUUCAUUUCUUGCUCUUUACUUUGUUAAUCUUUCUUACAGACACAGAAUGAUAAAAGUCUGAGAGGAUUACAACAGCUUGGGCAAAAAAGAAACUAUUCUAAAAAUACAUAAUGGGAAGAGAAGAUUGUGUUUUGAGUAGGGGUGCUCUUUAUUGGCUACCAAUCACUAUCGGCAGAUAAACAUGUUAGGAUGAUUGAUUGGCGCUCUAUAAAAGGCUAAUCUCAAACUGAUGAUGCUGCCAUGAGAGGUGUGGCACAACAUGCAUUUAAACUUUCACCUGGCUCUGCUUCCCUAUCCUCCGCUGACUGCACGCGCACCUUCCCAAACUGACGAGGCUUUAUACUUGACGUGUUUGCCGUUGAAAUAUUAUAUCAAAUGAUAUCGUCCCUUAAAUCAGCAGGAAUAACGGAGUAGGAAUGUUCUGGAAUUAUGUCAGAUCAUUUAAUAUGGUGUCCAACAAGCCGUUGAUCAAUAAGAAAUCAGAGGAGAAUUUGUGUUUGUUGUUAGCUGAAUUUUUUUAUUGUUUUUAUUUUACAGUUACUUAACAAUAAAGCAGAUCAUCCCAGUGAAUUCAACUGAAAUGUUUAUAUGAAUUCAAGAUAAAGGAGAACAUUUUUGAUAACUGAAAUUAUGAACACAUUAUUAUAAUUUAUUUUUCAAAAAUUAAAAUACACAAGAAAAAUAUCAAAUUUCAAAUAAAAGAGCAAACAAUUAAAGUUAUAAUUUAAAAUGCUAAUGGCAUUUCUCAACUUGAGAAACUUUUGAGUAGUCUGUUACAAACAAUAUUAAAUACUGAUGCUGUUGUAACAAGUCUUGAGAUGCAUAAAGACAGAGCUUUAUGUGUCUCUUUUUUGUUUGCUGUUUGUCUAGAACCUCAAAAAGAAAAGCACAACAUCAAAUCUAUGGUCCUCAUUGUCCUGUUGCCUUGCCAUUUCACUGAUCAACUUUCAGUAGUGCUUCUUUCCAUCCAGUGAACUAAACAGCAGGACAAGGUUUUAGCUAAGAGUUUUCUCUUAAAACCCAUUCACAAAGCUGCUGAGACACACUUUUACUAAGAAAUAGAGAAAAAAGUCUAAAGCUAAGAGUAAGGGCAGGGUUGACCUUGCUGCUGUGGAUGAUGUCAGCAUGCUUACUAACUAUGCACACAGUGAUUGGCUGAUAGUGUGAGAGAUUUAUUCAUGGAAAUAUUGUAGAACACAAUAUUGUGUUACCGCAUUCAAAUAGAAGCUUAAAAAAAAGUAAAUUGCCACAUUCAAAUAAAGAUUUUAAAAUGCAGGAUAAGUGACUAAUUAAACAAGUAUAUGUUCAACUUAUUGUCAGCCUCUCACAUGUAGGCUUCUCAAAAACAAUAAGUGGAUAUUUAUAUAAACAGCCUUUUAAUUAACAGAGUAGAAUAAUCAUGACUGAUAGAAAUACACACAGGAAUGUAAAAGAAAACCACACUAGAUGCAGCUGUUACUUCUUGCACGACUGGUUAAUGAAAACAAGGAUAUAAUCAAAGGAAAAUUUGGAGUAAUCUCCAAAACCAAAGGUGAUACCUUUUUUUAAAAGGUCAUUAUCAUCUAAUGUUUCAAAAAUGUUUACAUUCAAAUGCAGAUUGCUGCCAACACACAUUUUAGGAUAGUUUGUGACUUUUAGGAGCUAGUUUUAGAUCUAAAACACUUUGUGAAAUACUCUUUGAGCAAAGAUUUAGGAAUCCUAAAUUUAGGAUGGACACAUCCAUUAUUUUUAAGAUUUUGUCCUAAAUCAGUGAGUUAUGAACUACUUUUAGCCUUAAGAUGUUUUGUUAAUACAUCCAGAUAUUCAAGAUUCUUCUAAAUAAUACAGGGGUAUUUUGUAGUUUUCAAGCUAAACAAUAGUGUGUUUGGUUUAUCUCUUUCUCUAUUGUUUGCAAAAGGAACAUAGCUAUGAACGUUUCAGCACAAUAAAUAUUGUCCAUGUAAAUUACAUCGGCUGUUCAGCCAGUAUCUCUUCAAAGCUGUUCAUGUUGACAAGUGCAGCGUGAACUGUUUGCUAGAGUCACAAAAAAUGCAGCGAACACUGCCACACAAAAUGAGUUUCCGUGCACAAAGCAAACUUCCGACAACACGGCGAUGACGUCAUAUUUUCCAUCCGCACACAAGCGAACUUGCUGAUGCAUCACUCUCUGUACGGCACAGGUGAAAUAAUUAGCCUAGGUGAUGUAAAAGAGCAAACCAGUGAUUGGACCAAAGCACUGCGAGGCAAGGGAGGGGAAGACUAAAAAUCUUUCUAAACUUAAAAAUCUUUCUAAACUUAAAUGCAUUUUUUGCCCUGUUCGUGUUAUUUUACUUCUUAUUUUACUACUUCUACAUAUCUUCACUUAAUUAUCAGUAAGAUGUUUAAUAUAUUGACAUCGUCACUUCCACAAAGCAAUUUCUGUAUUUUUAUUAUUUUACCUCUAUUGCUGCUAUGUAAAACCCUGAACAACCUAUUUGCAACAUUGCUCUCUUGUACAGUCCUGCUCAUCUUAAUAUUGUUUCCAGUAUACUGUCCUGCACUUUAUAUUUUAUUUUUAUAAGCAUUUCAUUUUAUUCUUUUUUUUUUCACUUCUGGUCAUAUGCUCUCCAUAAAUAAAAAUCUUGAGGCAGUGAGGCAGCCUUUGUGUUUACAUAGAUACUUUAUAUAAAAUGAAUACAUCAUUAGUAUCAUAAUCUACAGCAAUGUUUUUCCAGAAAUCAUGACCCGGUUACUUCAGAAAAUCCACAGUUUCUACAUGAAACUGCUCACAACAAAUUUGUGGAUGACAUGAUGCUGGAAAAUAAUAUACAAAUGAGAAGGACAACAUUACCUUGAGCAAUCAAGCAAGGGAUGCAAUUGGUAGCUUCACAAAAUUGUUAAUGUCUCACAGUUAGCUACUAACUUAAUACAGUACAAUUAAUACAACCACUGUCUGUUUAUGGUAAAAAAUCAGAGCCCUUAAACCUACCCCCCGUGCUAACGGUGGAUGCUAGCCAUGGUUCACCAGCGUUUUGCUCAUUGUUUUUCCAGUGGACCACCAGCAGCAGCCGCAGUUUUCUGACAGUGGUCCGCUGACGAGCCUCUGGUUUAUAAUCAUUGUUUGCUGGUGGUCCACGGUCGGUCCGUGGUUCAUAAUCAGUUUGAUUAAGCUAACCAAAAUGUCCUUGCACACAAUAAUGGAUCAAAAAUGAUAUACAAUCAAUUUAAUUUCAGUGAACAGAUUAAAUAUACAAAUUUACUGUAUUUACAGUAUCAGAUGGUUUCAUCCAAUGUGACUUUCAUAUAGAAGCAUUUAGAUCACAUUUUUGUACCAAUACAAAAGUCAACCACAAAAUCAAAAUAUUGUGCACUCAAGUGAGCUAACCACUAACAACAUGACAACAGAAGCUACAACUCAACUCUACUUGGUUACUUUUAAAUGAAAUGCAUCAUCAUAUUCAAAAAAUAUAUUUAAUUUGUCAUUUCAGAAUUGUGUGAUGCUCACAGUCAUAUGGUCUGUAUUGUUGUUAAUUUCUAAUUUUAUCAUUUAAAUCUCCUGUAAUUAAUUGUCAAAGAAAAGUCCCUACAAGUUCAUGUAGUCUUUGAACAGAUGUUUUUAUCCAAAAAAAAAAAAGAAAAGAAAAAGAGCAGUUUGUUAUAGUUCAUGUAAUAAGUACUUAUUAGUUUGUUUUUUGUUUUAUUUUUAAACAGUAAGUGAAUGCUUUGAAAAAUAUAUUUGUACCUUAUGUUCUUCUUGAAUUAUUUUUGUGGUUUGCAUUUACAUCACAAAUAAAUGUCUUGUCUAAAUUUAUACAGCAGAUGCUUUGUGAUUAUUAAAAAGAUGAAAAUAGCUAAAAAGCCCAUUUAUCAGAAACAGAAUCAGUUCAGCAUGCUGAUUCAGAUGAAGGAAUGUUUGUAGCAUCAAAACAAGGACAAAAAGACACCGUUCACAGCUUUUACUUUGACAGAAGUUGACAAAGAAAAUAUUUAUAAUAACUUUGAAAGCAGCUGCUGUUGUAGACUCUGGAAGUUCAAAUCUUCAUUUUCUAGAUAAGAAAAUGACUUUUGAUUAUUCUGUAUGUAAACUUGUACAUGCGAAGAUAAGUUUAUUUGUUGCUUUCCCCCUUCAGAUUAAAGUGUGUACUGCUCUGAUUUAUAUUUGAGAUAUUGCUAUUUUAGUAAAAUCCUUAUAGAAAAAAAAAAAAAAAAAAUAGGAAAAAAUACUUCCAGAACUAAGGCUACUGAAACUGU